rnacentral:misc_RNA from 1 species
ACUUCGGUAUUUAUCCUGCUUGUGGUUCGAACUGUCUACACCAGUCACGAAACUACUUGACUUGGCUCCAUCUUUCUUUGAACUCUUGCCUUGUUUGGAUCCCCAGUGAACUUGGCUCUUGGAUAUAGCUUCCUUUCCAAACACAGGCUCAUUAGCAGAUCUAGAAGCAAACUCAAUGAAAUGCACAAGAUUUUCAAAGUCAACAGGCCUGUUGCUAUGAAGUUGUGCUCUGGUAACAUGAUCACGCCAUUUAACGCUUGCAAGUUAACAGAAUGAUUAAGAACAGUCAUGUGUGACAUAGUCUUCAUUGCAUGAAAACACUUGAUGAGGAAGUGAGAGAAUUGUUUAAGUCCAUGACAAUCAUCAUGCUUGAUCUGAGGCCAUGAUAGAACUUGAUUAACAUAGGCAGUUGAAACUUUGUAUGGGUUACCAUACUCACUACUCAACAGGUCCCUGGCCUUAGUGUAGCCUUCCUCUGGAUCAAUGUAGAGACAUCCAGCAAUCAAGUCCUUUGGUUCUCCCUCAAGCUGCUGUUCCAGGUAGUAGAGUCGAUCUAUAGAGCUGCUAGCAUGAGGAACUAUACGGGCAUCAAAAGACAUGAUAAAUGCACCAUAUUCUGUAGGGUCACCUUUAAACUUUGGCACCUUAGGCUGAGGUGACAACAUAGCUGUUGCCAUCUGUCUAUGAGCUUGCAAAAUCAGUUCAUUCUAGUCAUGUAAAUGCUGGGCUGUAUCUUCUGUCCUAGAGCUUUCCAUACCAGGACACUUUGAAAAGGAUGGUUGAAAGUCAGAAGCAUUUGGGUUAAGCCCUUUCUGAUGCUCAUUAUCGUCCAAAUGUUCAUGUUUGAAUACAAGAUGAGGUCUUUUGUCAAAAGGUUUCAAAAUGGGGUUACCACUUUGAACAAUACUGGCAUUUGACAACUGUAGCUUAAAAUCGGCACUAUAUGAACUACCUACUUCAAGACAUUGGGGCAUGUUGCCAGGAGAUCUUAGCAUAUCAGGCACAGUAGCUUUGAUAUCAGGCAUAGAAGGAUUGACACUAGGUCUUGAUGCUACAGAGAUCCUUUUAUCAUGAUCAACUAAAGUGUUAGAAACAUAAAGAUUACACUCCACUACACCAGGCGUAUAAGUUCUUGUGUCUGCUUGUGAAUCAGCAUAGACUUUCUCACGUGCCUGAGAUUUAGCAAUUUUAAUGUCUAACUUCAAAGAUUGCAAUUUCUUAGACUCUUCAAGAAAAGACUUUUCAACUAAAAGUUCAGCCAACCUUGCACGCUCCUUUGUAUAUGCUGACCUGGUUGAACUCCUGGAAUGUCUCGAUGACUUGAAACUUUUUGAUGACUUGAACUCCCUAGAAGACACACUUUCAAGGUGAUCCGCCAGGACAUUCUCCAUGCGAGUAAUCCAAUUUUCUACUUCGCUACGAAACUGUAGAAUGGAAAUCUCCCUCUCCUGGUGACCCAUCUGCUCUGAACUCUGCACAUCCUCUGAAAUAAGCUCUUCAUAAUAAUUUGUGAAACAUACAGAAUACUUUUGACACAAGUCUUUAUAUUCAACAAAGGUAAGCUGAACAACAUGCAAAUUGUCACUACUGCUACUGAUCAAGAGUCUAGAAAGUUCUGUUCUCUUCUUAGUAAGAGAAGAGAGAACAUCGGUCACUCUGGUUUUCAACAAACGAAUCUGUUCAGCUUUCCCGUGCUCAGUAAUUGUCCUUUGACGACCAGAACGACGUAGAAUGUUCUCACCACCAGCACCACUAUCCUCCUGAAUGUCAUUACUCACUUCAUUACCUUGUCUAGUCUCAAUCACACUUGCACCUUGAGCUAGCUGUUUCUGUUCUGUAGCGGUCUCAUCACCACUAUCUAUCAGCAUCCUUUCUUCUGUGUCUAUGCCCCGUUGUCAUCUUGAGCGUUGUCGUUGGGCAAUACACCGUUAGGAUUCAUGAUGUUGUAACAAUCACCAAACUUCAAUGAAAAUUCACGAAAUUCAAAAUCCAAAAUAUGUGCAGUCUAUGGUCAACAGUCUACACAAUGUCUUCCUAAUCAUUUAGAUGCAGGGAAGAUUUUCUUGAACUAUAUUAUAGCAGAAAUCAACAGUCUUGAUACUCUCAAUUGAUGUUUAUUGUCCGUUAUUCGUUGAAAAUAAUAAGUGAAAAGCUCAUUCGUUUGUAUCCGUUAACAUGCUUUUCCUUUGAACGUUGAAGUUCAAGAAACUAGAAAAUAACAAGAAAAUGUUCUAAGUUACAGUGUAAACAGUGAAUUGGCUAAGUUGUUACAAAUACAAAAUUCUACAAAUAUUAUAUCAUUUGAAGAUAAAUGAUAGCUUCAACAUUACUUUAGAUGUACACACAUUGUAUAAAUAUGAAUAAGCAGGUUAAAAACUUACAUCUGUGUUCUGCAAUAGUUCAUGACAUGUUUCUCCAACAUGGAGACCUUUCAAACUGAAGGUGACAGUGGAUGAGGUCACAUGACUAAUCCCAUGAUGCAACACAACUGAUUAUAAGUCACAAAAACUUUUGCCUGAACCUGGGAUUGAACCCUGGACCUUUAUGCUGCUAGUCCAGUGACAUAACCAACAGACCAUUGUUAAGGCUGAUAUCUGUACAUGAAAUUCAUAACAUUUUUGCAUAACAGAUUUGCAACAUAAAUUAUACAUUCUGCACUAACACUACUACAUAUCACUGAAACGUAUGCUAAUGGAGCCUUUACACAGGAUGGCGACCUUUGUGCCUCCCGUGUGCGACGUUAAAAUUUGUCAGGUCGUCGAUGGAGGCUAAAAGGAGGCAGAAUGGUUGCCUAGGUCGAUCCAAGGUGGUACACAGGAGGUUCAGACAUCGCAAUGGACGCCAUGGUCGCCGUGAAUGUUCAAAACAGUCUCACAAAGGUCGCCGAGGAGGUUGGUUGCUCAAAGGUGGCUCAAAGGAGGCAGAAGGGAGGCACAAGCAUUCCCGUUUUUGCAGAAUUAAGGCACACUGGUCGCCCUAUGGUCGCCAGGUAAUAGAUACGUUCUGCUGAAAUAUUGUCCCGUAAAUCUGGGCGAUGCUUCUGCCUACGUUGUGCCUUCUUUGGACGACCAACAGCGUGCAUUGAACGAUGACUAUGGCGACCGCCGUGCCUCCAUUUGGCGACCACGGCAACCCUUAAGACACCAUGGCAAUGCUUAGGCCUCUUUUCUGCCUCCUUUGAGCUACCUGUUGUGCCUCCUCAGCCUGCCUAUACAUAGAGGGCUAGUACCUGCAGUGUUUCAUUGUGGUUGCAGAUGCUGAACAACUCGAGCAGUUACUGCUGAACAACUGCUGGAGCAGUUACAUAGAAACAUGAUUUUCUGGGUUAAGGCGACCAUUGAGCGUCCUGGCCAGUUUUUGAUCGCUCAAAGGUGGCACAAAGGUCGCAGCCCUGUGUAAUGGGGCCUUUACAGAUGGCAGUUAAAAUACAAUGCAAGUAAAGUGCUGUAUUAUCAUUUAAAUGUGCAAUAAAACUUACGCAGCCCUUAAACUUAUAUUUAGGUGAAAUCAAGCUCCCAGUAAAGGAUUCUGUUAUAUAUGCAGGAGUAUUUAUCUGUACAGGAAGAUUAUCCUUGAGCGUCAACCCUAGCUUGUGAGAAACUCAAAAUCGAUUAAUAUUAAUCAGAACCUUGGCUUGGACUUUGGUGGUCCUAACCCAACUGCUGCUGUUCGUAUAUGGGACAUGUUACAGAUUGUCACAAAAUAUAAACUAGGCGAUGAAAUAGACAACUUUGUAUUAAUUCUCGUUUUGUUAAGAAAGAAAUCUUGGACCUCAUUAGUUAAGCAAAGUGUACGCCACCACGAUACAUUAGCAGUAGAAAGGGAACUUCAAACCAGAUUAGCACUGUCUAGAUACAUCGUUAUCAGAUCCGGUAGUGCACCGAGGUUAUGGAAACUUGCUACACUACACACAGAUAACUUUGCUGACAUUGCUAGGCUUGCAUGCAUAGGACCAUCCUCUAUACAGCCUAAAGAAUGUCAGUGUGGCACAGUUGCUAAUGAUAUUGUUAAACGUGUGUUUAUGUCAUGUCAAAUCAACCUCCACGAAAGAGACCUCCUGUUAUAACAAAUUGAAUUACUAAAACUUGCUACUGUUGAUUUCCACUACCAUUAAUUUAGCUCUUGUGUUGUAAUAACUAUACACAUACAUAUGCUGUAAUCUUUAUAUUAUGGAGGAAAUAAAGAAUAUCUAUAUAUGAUCAGCUCAGGAUGAGCCAAGCUGAAAAAAACGAUAUUUGUUGCGCGCAAUUUCACUACAAGGCUUCUUAUUCUCUACAGCUUCAACAAAUAUUUCUCAGAUGGAUCUUUGAAUUCAGGAGUCUAGCUUGGUAGUGCUUCUCGGUACCUAUUAGUAAUAAGGAUAAAUACCAUAAAAAGAUCUAAGGAAAUAUUGCGCAUUAAGAUAUUUGAAACCAGGACUCAAACGGUAUUUGGGAGUAUUUUUACCCUUUUAGUACAAUUGGUGUUUUCCCCCUUUUUUUGACGAGCUUGACUAUAUGGGAUAUAUCAUGAGUGCUAUGACCCAGAAAGCAGCAAUAAUCCUAUUCUUACAUCAAAACUCUGAAGUGAUGAAUACUAUUUCUCUGUGUGAUUUCUAAAUGAAAUACAAUAUACAUAUAUUGUGUUGGUGCCUGGACCUUAGACCAUUCCUUAUCUGUAUAAAAAGUCCAAGACAAUGCAGUUAUUUCUGUACCAAUAUUGUGCACUUUGGGGACUUUGUAACAAAUAACAAACUUUCAGAUGUUUGAAGCUACGAGUCUAGCUUUAAGGUGUGACACCUCGGUAACCCGACAACUUACUAUUGUCUGGGCCCUAGCUGUUAGCUGUAUCUAUGUGUCUGGCUUGGCCUGGAGACAUUACAUCGAUUCUCUGCACGGUGAACUUCAAAGAUCCAGCUUGAGUAACAAUACAAUUUGGAAUACAUGUUUACUGCACCCAUACAUAAAGACGUUUUGGGAAGACACAUUUAGUCAAUAAUAUACUGGCUUUGGUCAAACAUACCUACCUGACUGCUCUUUUAUUAUGUCCCAUUUGAGACAUCCAGGCAAAAGUCCAUUUACUUACAUACACUUUCAUAUGACCCAAUGAGAUAUAUAUAAUCUUUAUCUACAAAAUGGCAAAUAAUUUGGCACCUGCUUAUCUCUGCAACGUAGUCCCAGACCAGGUUAACGCUCGCAGUGAUCACAGCCUCCUCAGACCUCCAAACAAUAAGAUGUAAGACUGAACACUACGCAGGCUCCUUUAUACGUAACUCUACAAAGUUAUGGAAUAAUCUAUCAGAAGAAAUUAAAUCUACUGGCUCAUACUCAAAUUUCCGAGAUAUAUUAUCAUGCAAGAACAAUUACAAACAGUUCUUUCCUACAGAUUUUGGAACCAGAUUCUGUCAAAUUAUUCACUGCCGCCUCGGACUCGGCUGUGACCUAAACGGACAUAAAUUCGACAGAUUCAUAACUCACAGCCCAGAUUGUUCCCGAGGUCACCACUAUAAAGACCCGCUAAACUACUACUUCUGUGUUGCAAUAAUGAUCCAAUUAGAAGCAAAUCAUUAUAUUACAUAAAAUAAUAUGAUAUUAAGAAAGUACGUUACGGAUGUGAAGGCCUAUCAUCUGAAGCAAAUCAAGAAAUUCUUGUAUUUGUCCGUACUUUCAUCACAAAUUCUGGUAGAUUUAAACUUAAAUAAUACACCAAACUCUCACAUAUAAUAUAUGUGUAUCUUGUGUACAUUAUGUAGUACUUAAUGUUACGUAUAGAUGAGUUGCAGCAGACUUGCCGUUCCGUCUCCGGUCGCGCAUGCGCAUCGUGCGUGCGGCAAAAGACCACGGAAGUGAACCGCGACGACCCGCUGUCAAGGUCAGAGCUGUCAAACUUCGCGCUGCCGUAUUUACGUUCCGUGUUUACACAUUUAUCAUGAGUACCUACUACAAACAUCUUUGUGCAGUAGACAAGCUUCGUUACGAAGAAAAACUUAAUUUACUUGGAUUUUCGCUAGAUUGGGAACCAUAUAUCAUUAAUAAGUACUGGAUUGACGACGUUUCACAGUAGCCAAACUUGCAGUAUGGCGACCUGUACACGUAUCUAAUAGAUUCGCCUGGUCCUUUUACCAGAAAGAGUUUGCGAUGUUUUCGUUCACUAGAGGCCUAUACUUUGUUUGAAAGUGGAUGGGUUCAUACGUGUCUCAUCAGGUACAACUCUUCACAGACCAAGUGCAUGAUUAAGGCCAAGGUUCACAGAUCCCAAGCUGUGACAGAGAAGCCCCAUGAAGCCUGGGUUGGUCUGGAUAAGAGUGGCAGGGUGGAGUGUGCACACUGUACAUGCAUGGCAGGAUUGGGUGAAGUCUGUUCACAUGUUGCUGGUAUCCUAUUUAAAGUGGAGGCCUGUGUUCGAUUUGAGUACAACAAAGUUUCCUGUACGUCCAUGCCCUGUUCCUGGAAUCAGACAUUCACAAAGAAGGUUGAACCAGCUAUGGUGGCAGACAUAAAUUUCUCCAAAGUCAAGAAGGUGCACUUGGCACCACCUCUGGCCCAGAGACAACCAGUUAAAUUUGCAGAUAGUUCUAGUCUUUUAGUAAAGUUGAGAAAAAGUGUACCCUCCGCAGCCAUAUUUACUAUUACUAACCCUGUUAUUACCGACUGGUCCGAAGAAGAACAUGCCCAACUUCCUUCUCCACUAUCACUUUUAUUUGAUGAGAAAUAUAAACAUUUGACUGAGGCAGAGUUGAAAUGUAAAUGUGAGAAUGUUUUUUCUGAUGAGUUAAAAAUAACACAGCAGGAAGCUACAGUGUUGGAGAAAGAAACCAUCUGUCAGAGUGGAUCAGCUACCUGGUUUGAGUACAGAAUAGGACGUUUAACUGCCUCUAAUUUUGUGAGUAUUUAUCAUUGUCAGUGUAAACCCAGUCAGGUUUCGUUAUUGAAAAAGAUAAUGCAAUAUGACCAAACUACUGACUCUGACAGUAAUAAACAUGACCAAGCUAGUGUGUAUGCUCCCUGUGAGUGGGGUUUGGAACACGAAAAUGACGCUCUUGAUCAAUAUAAAACUAUUAUGAUAUCUGGUCAUACCAACCUUGUCUUACAGAAAUCCGGUUUUGUCAUCAACCCAGAUUUCCCCCACUUAGGUGCUACACCUGACUCAUAUGUGACAUGUGACUGUUGUGGUAAGGGUCUUGUGGAGGUUAAGUGUCUCUUUAAAUACAGAGACCAGCAUCCUUGUGAAAUUUGUGAUAAUCAGUUCUAUCUAAAACCUCAUGUAAAAUAUGAUCCUGUUUGUAUAAACUCGCUUCAAACUAGCCACAAUUAUUAUCAUCAGGUGCAAGGCCAGUUACAUGUCUGUGAUAUGAAUUAUUGUGACUUUGUUGACUGGUCCAGAAAGGGUAUCCAUAUUGAACGUGUCAUAAAAGACACUACAUUUUGGAACUCACUGAAAGUGAAAUUAGAUUUCUACUUUUUGAGAAUUGUUUUACCUGAACUACUGACUAGAGCACAUGACCAUAAGAUGAACCAUGCUCACCCAGUAUCCAGAGAAAGGCGUCGCUGCAUAAUGUAUGAAUAAUACAAUGCAAUGUAUGUACAUCAAUGCUUGUGGUAAGAGGCGACAAACGGGAUCGGGUGGUCAGGCUCGCUGAUUUGUUUGAACUGUGUCAUCAUAUCCCAAUUGUGUGGAUCGAUGCCCAUGAUGCUCAUGAUGUCAAUCACUGGAUUGUCUGGUCCAGACUCAAUUAUUUACAGACAGCUGUCAUAUAGCUAAAAUAUUACUGAUUGCAGAGUUAAACAACAAACAAACAAAUGCUGCUGAUCAUGCUUGAUAACUGACCACCAAGUGACCAGUGAAUAGUCUUCCAAUCACGUAGACCAGUUGUCGAGUUGCAAUCGUCAUCGCGGGGAUAUUCACAUUUGAAGGAUUUAUUCUUGGAAGCUUGUCAUCCGAUGUGCGAAUUCUCUUCAUCGCCUAUGGUCUUCU